CCAAGGAGUCUAACAUGUGCGCGAGUCGCUCGGUCUUGUUUAGGCCAGGGAGGCGCAAUGAAAGUAAAUUUGAUAUGUUAUGAUCCCGGYAUCGUUAGCGUUUGCGGUCCAAAAGGCCGUGAACGUGUGCCGGGCGCAAUAACGGCCCUCUCGUUUUGCUCAUAUCGACAAUUGGGAGGAGUCAUAGCGUACACGUUGGUACCCGAAAGAUGGUGAACUAUGCCUGGGCAAGACGAAGCCAGAGGAAACUCUGGUGGAGGUCUGUAGCGAUUCUGACGUGCAAAUCGAUCGUCARACCUGGGUAUAGGGGCGAAAGACUAAUCGAACCAUC
rnacentral:rRNA from 1 species